CCUCAUAGUAAUCUUUGGCUAAACAAGUCAGUCUGACAACUCAGGAAGACUGAGAUUUUUACAGCCUGCUUGCACACAUUCACACAAAGUGGACAGCAAUGUUCGUUGUAGUAUGGGACCAGUGGGAUGUCAUCCAAAUUGAUCCCCAUGACAAAACUUCACCAUGACUCCUCUGGACAUCUACAGUGACUACUGGGGUGUUGUCCCCCCAUCAACAUUUGAACUAAUGAUGACAAAUCCAACAUUGGAGAAGAAGACUCUGCUGCUGGUGGUCAGGAGUGAUGGAGUCAGCACUGAAGGAGAACCCAUAUGGAGCAGACCAGGAGCCAGCAAUGGCAGAAGGCCUGCAAAAAGCAGAAACUUAGAUGAGAUCGUGUGAAAUUCAGCUGCAGAGCUUCAGGCCCCUGAAAAAGCAAGGUGGGUCUGCUAUAACAUGGUUUGCACCUGUCCGAUGAGAAAGAGUAUAUUUCUGACCUCUCCAUCACAGUCUCUUCUUGGUACAUUUCAGAGAGAAACAGUGCUGCUAGUAAUGCCACACCAUAACCUUGGUGAAGGGAGGCUAUGCUCUACCUGAAAUAGGCAAGUAUGGGUAGCAAAAGGCAAAAGGCUUUGAAGUGGAGAAAGCAGAACACACCAAGUUGCAAUGCUAUGCAAGCCCUGAUCCCAGCCACUGUCUGUGCCAAAGAGCCUGGCACUCAGUAGCCCAGUCAUGAAAACACUAGGCUCUGCCAUAGAGCAAGUGGGAGCAGACAAGCAAGCAGGGGAGAACAAAAAGAUGAGCCUGGACUUGCAUGCAUGACUGGAUUAUGAACAAAAAAAAGAAAUAAGAAUUUCAGGAGAGAACCUCCUUCUCAGUUCAAAUGUUCUUUGCCAUGCCACCCCCCAGAAACCAAAGUUUCUUCUUUGGUUUCUAUUUCUGCCGCCUCUUUAACAGACUUUCCUCCUUUCAUGAAAGCAAUACAAGACACUUCAUUCAGACCCCAGCAGCUCCAUCCACCUCCUUGAGAUAGUCAACAACUCUUCAUUCCACACUGUCCAUCACGAAAUUUCACAGGAUGAAAUAAGCUUUGAGCACUUGGCUUCUUGGGGCUGGAACCAAACCCACACCCAAAGGCAGCCUUAGGGAUACCUUUGUAUACUGAACACAAUCAGCACCAUCCUUUGGCAGUGUAACCAGAUAGAACAGGACCCACAGUAAGGUCUCAUUCCCUAUGCAAUGGGUUCAUGCACUACAACUGACCCCUGUCCUGUGGUAAUUCCCAGACUGGGCCCACAAGGUUCCUGAAACAUGAAAAAUGCUCGGAGAUACAUGUGCCAGGAGCUAGUCUAGCCAAUUCACAGUGCAGACUCUUCAGUCCUGUGCCCAGGUUUGUCCAGUGUUUAAUUUACCAGCUAGCUUCAUUGCCACUGUAUGUGUAUUUUUUUACCAGCCUGUUUUCCAAAGCAGUGCCUCCAGAUUACUGAAUUGGUUUCAUGUUGAUUCCCUCCAAACAUGUUUUCAUAUGCUGGGCAGCCUUAGCUACUGACAAAGCAGUAAAUGUCUCAGCAACAGAGAGUUCUGUGAAAAAACACAGCCAGGUGGAGGAGAUCAAACCAAACUGACAUACUGUUACAGAAAAGACUUACACUUGAGUUUGGUCAAACUUUUAGACCACAGAGAAUUCACGUUGACUAAAAUCAUUAUAAAUGCCUCAAUAGCAGGAAAGCUUUAAUUCAGGCCUAACUAAUGUUUCUGUGGUUGGGAAAUCAUUCUAGAUAACCUACAUAACACUACCUGUUAUAGGUUUGGCAAAAAUAUUUCACUGUUCAUGGGGACUUUUUAUUUCCCUUUCUUCCUCUCCUUACUCUUUCAUAUGCUUUUAUUAAAAAUAUUCUUUAAAUUUUAAAAACAUCUUUUUUCCAACCAUGUCUUCUAAUACGGGCAAAGAUGUAUCCUCAGCACAACUUCUGGCUCACCAGAGACCAGACCCUGUUAUACUUCUUGUCAAAACAGGACCUGAGGAAUACCAGUAUGGAUGUUAACAAGUAAUAGUAUGUGAAAAAAGGCCUGAUAUGUCACAGAACGACAUAAAAGAAAACACCUGCCUAUUCAAGCAGUACAGAAACAGACACACAACAGCUAAACAAUGGUCAGAAAUCCUCUGGUCUGCAUCCUGAUGAAGUAGGAGGGUUAUUGCCCAGAGGUCUGCAGAAGAGAAGAUGAAUUGUGUAAUUUUAAAAUAACUGGAAAUAAAACAUGAAGAGGAAUAUCA
rnacentral:lncRNA from 1 species